AAGCUGGCUAUGGAGGCUCGCUUAAUGAGGAGCUGUGAGGCCCCAUGCUACUUGCAGUGGGAUGAAGAGCUGGUGAGCCUAACCCGCAGGUGCAUUUCAGAUAAGGCAGCAGACAUGGGUCUUAAGAAUGUAGCUCCUAGACAGCAGCAGGCUGAGCAGAAAUACAGGCCACCUGGUCUUAGGAUUCCCAACUGUGAGGUUAUGUAAACUACUAGGGCAGAAUCAUCAACAGAAAGGGUGCAGCCUGUCAAAAGAUCCAAGAGGUAACCCCAGGCAGAAAGCAGAAGCAAGUGGAAGCCGCCAUCGGAGGGCAACCCACCAGCCCUUCUGGGGAAGGUCAAGGCAGCCAGGUGUGUGGAGACUCCACAGAAAGAAGCAGGAGGCUGCUGUGGAGCAUGCCAAAUUAUUGCAGCCCCUCCCCAGGAGGAACCUGGAUCUUGGGGAGCUUGGGUGGGACGUCUUCCCUCUGGGGCAGGAUUGUCCUUCUGGCUUGUCCAGGGAGAUGGUUCCUUCCCAGGCUUCUUCUGGCCAUCAGGCCAGCGCUGACCAUCCAAGUGCUGGGCCCCACCACAGACCCAGAAAUAAGCUGUGUGUCUCCCCCUCAUCUUUCUGUGUGUCUCCCCCUCAUCUUUCUCCCCCUCAUCUUUCAUCUUUCACUUCACAUAUUCAGCUUGGAGAAAUCUGGAGCAAAUAGGCCCAUCACCUCCAGCAGCCACACGGUGAUCCGGAAGCUGCUACUGCCUCCCUUGGUACUGCAGCCUGGGUCCAGUCCCAGCCAGGCCUUGCAGGAACCCCCCCUUUCUUCUUUGUGGUCUCUGUGCAUCACACUUGGGUUAGGCGCCUGAGCAGAGCCACGUUCCAGAACCUUCCAAAGCUUCACCCCCUCAUCGACCUCUGCUAGGGCAAGACGUUGGAGCUUUGCUCUGCCUUCACCUCAGAACGUAUCUCCUAUACAAUUGUCUACUUUAACGUCCUUUUAUUCUAUCUGUUUCUCUCUUCUCUAAGUAUAUCUGACCGUCCAUUUUGCAUUUUGAUUCCUUUUGCGCCUCCCCACCCCCCCACGCUUGGGAGGUCAGCAGCCUUGAAAUGUUUCUUGGCCUGUGCAGCAAAAAUCCCCACCUUGGACAGGCACGCAAAGUGUCUUCCUUGCUUGGGGGAGGCCCAUAAGGUGGACACCUGUACAAUUUUUAAGGGCUUCACCAAGCAGGCUCGCCACAGCAGAGAUGUGGGAAAGGUCCCUUCAAGCAAGUUUGGCAGCGACAGGAGGUAGCCCAUGGUCGGGACCUCAAAAUCGGAUGGAAGGACAGCCCCACUCUGAGUCUGAGCCUGUUGAACAACAAAAUGCCACGGUCGCUACUGCCGAGGUCUAGUGCAUGCAGCCGUACUCGAUCUGUAGCUGCCUCCACUGGAAUUACCCCCGCCUCUGCCGGGCUUACCUCCCGUUAUGGUACAGGGCGAGAAGGUGCGGCUUGCGUCCUCAAAACCAGCCACGAGCUCAAUCAGGGCAAAGCAGACCUGGGCCAGCCCUGCUACUCAGGCAGAUUGUGUAGGAGGUGGGUUGGACCCCUGCUACCCAGGUUCCCCCUCAUCCUCCUCGAGUGAGACAUCCUGCAAAUCUAAACAUCAUGGGAAACGUUAUCAUUGGUUUUACCACCCAUUGCUCUCUAGAUGGGUCUAUGCCCCACACUUUGAGAGGGACAGGCACCCUUCACACUGGAUGAUGGCUCCUUACACUGAUGUGGAGCCGGGGAACUAUUUUGGAUUUCCGUCAGGUCCAUUCUACAAAGAAAGGCUAAGGGAUUAUCCAGGCGGAAAGAGGAGAGGACAUAAGUGGUCACGCUCCCAUUCUAUGUCGGGAUAAGAUUCCUAGAUCAGAUUCUAGCCCUAAGAGGCGUAGCAGGAAACAAGGGAAGAAGCCAAAGAAAGCAAGACCAGCAGACCCUCGAUCUCCUUCGGUUCCAAGCGCUCCACUCGAGGUCCCUUUGCCACCCCCGAUGCCUGUGGAUCCUGUGCUUCCAGCCCCGACCCAGCCUGUGGACCCUAUGCUGCCAGCUCCUAUGGCUCCGCCUGCAGAGCCAGUAGAUCCAACGCUUCCGUCGCCAGCACCGGUGGUGGAGAUUGAUACUCCUGUCGAGGACCUGAGGUUGCAACCGCUGUAUCCACCAGGUACUCCAGAGGUGGAUGGAACAGAGAGUGCAACGGAACAGCCGGAAUCGGAGCAACCGGAGGGUGCCUCCUUAGCGGAACUGAAACGUUACACAGAGCAGCUGCUGUGCAUGGCAUUGGCGGCCUCCCUUGGGUUGGAUACUUCGGAGCUACAUCACACUGCUCAGGAUUCCAUCUUUGAGCUGAUCCAAGCGCAGGCUACAGGGAUAUUAGCCCUUCCCCUAAUACCAACCAUUGCCCAGAUAAUUAAAGUAGCCUGGGAGAAACCUGCCUCAGUUGCCUCCACUUCCAAAUGCCUGGAGGGCAUGUCUGAAAUGCAAGAUACACAAUACCUCACCAGACACCCCACACCAAAUUUGGUUGUAGUUGAAUUGGCCCAAUCGAAGUCCAAACUACGGCGUUUGACAGCUCCUUCAGACAGGGAGGGCAGGAUGCCGUGGGCAGGAGACUAUACUCUGCGUCCAGCUUACAGCUCCGGGUGGCUAAUCAUCAACCUCGCGUCUUUAUGAAAUCUAUGGCGGUGGUAGCGGCACACCUCCGGCUGCAAGGGGUGAUGGUCUUCCCAUUCAUCGACCAUUGGUUAUUGGUAGCAAACUCCCGCAAAGGCCUCAAAGAACCUUUCAGCUGCUCACCUUUCAGCUGCUUCGGUCCCUGGGUCUAGAGGUCAACUUCACGAAUUCGAAACUCUGACCACUGCAACGUGUGGAGUUCCUCAGCACACUGUUGGAUUCCAGAGAGAGCAGUGCAUACCGUGGCCCUCACAGGGUGCUGAGCAUAAGAGAGGCAGCCCUGCGUUUCUGCCAUAAGAGGUGUCACACGGCCAGGGUGGUGCAGAAGAUACUUGGGCACAUGGCUUCAUCUACGGCUGUUCUGCCACUCGCAUGCUUUCACAUGAGGCCUCUACAAAUGUGGUUCCUGGACAACUUCAAUCCCCACCUUCAUCGCCCCGACAGAGAUGUGGGCCCCGUGGAGCGUACUGGCAUAGGUACAAUGGUGGACGAAGUCCGCACAUCUGACGGGUGUGUGUGUCCCUUUCCAGCGCCCUCCUCCGAGAUUGUCAAUAACAACUAACGCUUCCACAUCUGGAUGGGGAGCGCACUUCGGGAAAUUCACAGUGGCCGACCUUUGGCCUCACCAUCUCAAGUACGAACACAGAAACUACCUGGAGUUAAUGGCCAUCCUCCUAGCACUAAAGGCCUUCCGCCACUGGAUCUGGGGACAGUCUGUACUCAUCUUGACAGACAAUGCCACAGCCCGCUCAUACCUAAACCGUCAAGGUGGGACGGUCUCUUGCAAGUUAUUGUUUCUGCUACUUGAGAUCUGGGCGUGGUGCACAAGCAGAAGUAUCUGGCCAACAGCGGAGCACAUAGAAGGAGUCUCGAACACCCUGGCGAAUGCCUUCAGCCGACAGACGGGAAACUCUCAUGAGUGGUCUCUAGAGAGGAAUGUGUUGAAAGGCUUGUUCCAUCGCUGGGGGACUCGGAGAGCAACAGGAAGUGCGUCCAGUAUUGCAGCAGGGGUGGGAUGGGCUGACGAUCCCUGGGUGAUGCGUUCCUUCACCACUGGGGAGGAGACUUUGUGUACGCAUUCCCGCCGUUCCCUUUAAUUCCAAGGGUACUUGAGAAACUGCAAAGGGACAGAGCAGAUGCGUUUCAGGUGGUGCCUUGGUGGCCGCGGCAACCCUGGUUCACUUCCCUCCUGCAAUUGGCCAACCACACCUUUGUGCACCUGCUGGUAUACCUGGAACUGUUGACAUUGGAGGGGGCCCGCAGGAUCCAUCUGAAUGUAGAAUCCCUCCAUCUGACGGCUUGGAGGAUCUGACGCUCCCCUCCCUCUCAGACUCUGUACUUAAAGUCCUGGAAGCAGCACGGAAGCCAUCUGCAUGACGCUGCUAUCCUGUCCAGUGGAAGAAGUUUUCUGAUUUUGUGGCGAAGUCUGGUCUAGCCCCUGAUCAGGUCCCGGUCCAGACUAUCCUGGAAUAUCUUCUGGCUCUGAGAGAGUCUGGACUGGCACAGGCAUCCAUCAGGGUGCAUUUGGCCGCUAUUGCUUCCUACCACACUUAUUUGGGUCUGUUUGUUGACCUGGUGGUAAAGAAGUUUUUGAAAGGGUUAUUAAAUUUGUUCCCAACUCAUCCACAUUUGUUGCCCAUAUGGGACCUUCAACUAGUUCUUCCGCGGUUAAUGUUGCCACCUUUCGAACCCAUGGCGACUUGUUCUUUGAAGAUCCUGUCAUUGAAGUGUUGGAGUUCCAUCUGGCGCAAGAACUAAGGCUGCCCGUUUUCUUCCCUGAUCCAUGCUUGGAGAAAGAAAGGGCCUACCACUCUUUGCAUGUUCGGAGGGCUCUUGCCUUCUAUGUAGAUUGGACAAGACCCUUCAGAAGGACAGAGAGACUCUUUGUCAGCUUUUCAGGCUCAUCUAUGGGCAUGCCUAUAUCAACGCAGCGAGUUUCAUCCUGGGUAGCAGAGACUGUACAUCUAGCCUACCAGCUGGCUAAGAAGCAAUUGCCGGGCCCUAUUCGGGCCCAUUCCAAGAGGGCAGUGGCGUCAUCGGAAGCCUUUUGGUGGGGAAUUGCAUUGGAGGAGAUUUGCAGGGCAGCUACGUGGGCUAACACGUCUACCUUCAUACAACACUAUGCGCUGGAUGUUCGUUCCAGAGAUCAGUCAUGCAUGGGGACGGCAGUACUUCACUCAGUCUCUCAUUAGGCUCCUCCCACCAGCCAGGUAAGCUAGCUCGCUAUGAUCUCAAGUGUGAUGCACAGAGACCACGAAGAAGAAGGGCAGGUUUCCUACUUGUAACCGUAGUUCUUCGUGUGGUCUUCUGUGCAUUCACACUCCCGCCCUACCUCCCCACAGCAGCUGGUCUCUUUUGUUCAGCGGCGGUCUCCUUGACUGAGGUAGUGUGGGGAUCAACCUACAAAGGGAGUGCGUCUUCCCGCUCUUUUUUCCUUUUUGGGGGGUGAAGCUUUGGAAGGUUCCAGAACGUGGCUCUGCGCAGGCGAAUAACCCAAGUGUGAACGCACAGAAGACCACUUGAAGAACUACGGUUACAGGUAGGAAACCUGCCCUUUCCUUGAUGCCCCUUUUCAUUCCUCAUUUCAUUCCACAUUUCAUUCCAGCCCCUUUUCAUUCUUCAUUUGUGUGUUUGUGCGUGUGUGCAUUUCUUUUAGGUGGCAUAUCUGAGCUGAGUAAGGUAAGCAGUGGCAGAGGUGCAUUUACUCCUGGAUUUUGGGGAUGCAGCCCUGGUGUCCAUACUCCUUGGGGGCUCCCAAAUAAUCUUUAGUCUGUCCUGGGUGGUGUGGUUUGUGCCCUCAAGAACGUAUGUGUUAAAAAAUGUUUAAUUUGCAUUGGCGAUGGGUGGGGGCUCCAAAGGCUUUUAGUUCCAGGCUCCAAAAUUACCUAGGUGCACCUCUGAGCAGAGGCGAUCUUGCCAGCAGCUCUUUCUCUUGGGGGGUUGUAAUUUUUAUCCCCCAAUUAAUUAGCAGAGCACUAAAGAAGCUACCCAUUCCAGUUACAGAGUAGUUGCAGAGUUUAGUUGUUGCAGCUAUUUAGAGAAGUCACAUGGAGAUGCUUGUAGAAUAAAUACAAAAUAUUUAUUGGUGAAGUACACCUUUGGAUAAGAAAGACCUAACCCUAAUUUAUAGAACAACAUAAUGAAUAGGUGGGGGAGAGAGAGAGAUGUUUCCAUCUGCUCUCUAAGAGGAAAGGAAGGGAUUCUUUCUGACUCUCAACAGGAAAUACCUGAAGAGUCCUAUUAGGGGUUAUAGAGUAGAGACCAAUAGAACAGUUAGGGAGCCCUUACUCACUAUCUCUACCCCCAAUGCCCCUAGUGGUCAUAAGGAUAGUUGGUGCAAAAAGUUGAUGCACUGGUAGUCCAUCUCCAACACUUUCCCGGGCUAUGCAAUGUAGUCCUCUACAUUCCUCAUUUGUGUAUUUGUUUGUUUUAGUUGGCAAAUCUCAGCUGCGUAAGGUAAGCAGAGGCAAAUUUACCAUCUAGUCUUCCUAGUGCUAUGCAAUGUGUUCCUUUUCAUUCCUCAUUUGUGUGUGAGUGUGCUUGUUUCUUUUAGGUGGCAAAACCCAGAUGGGUAAGGUAAGCAGAGGCAAUUUUGCCAUCCUGUCUUUCUAGUGCUAAUCAAUGUGUUCCUUUACAUUCCUUGUGAGUGUGUUUGUGUGUGUUUGUUUUUAGGUGGUGAAUCCCAGCUGGAUAAGGUAAGCAGAGGCAAUUGCCAUCAGGUCUUCCCAGUGCUAUGCAAUGUGUUCUUUUUCAUUCCUUGCUGUUGUUUUGUGUUGUGUGUGUUUCUUUUAGGUGGCAAAUCCGAGCUGGGUAAGUUAAGCAGAGGCAGUUUUGCCAACAGGUCUUCCUAGUGCUAAUCAAUGUGUUCCUCUACAUUUCUUGUUUGUUUGUUUCUGUGUGUUUGUUUUAGGUGGUGAAUCCCAGCUGGAUAAGGUAAGCAGAGGCAAUUGCCAUCAGGCUGGUUCUCUGAACCAGCCUGAGAACCAGGCUGGUUCGAUGGUUUGAUCGCGAAACAAACAGGCCUUCAGGAAAGGUGGUCCAGUCCAAGAUCAAGCCAAAUCAGCCCUGACCAGGAGGACAUGGCUCCCAUGUAACCGUCCUCUGUGAGAAGUGGCUACAUGCAUGGGAUGGCCAAUGGGGUCAGUGUGGCGCUGCUGCUACUUAUGUGGCACACGUGCUUCCCUCCUUCGAACUUUGCAGGCUUUGCGGCUCCCGCCCACCCUCCCUAGUUCAGUGAGAGAUUAGCUGGUCGCUUAUGGGCCGAGUAGGAAUUUUUGGUCUUCACCUGAUUGGCUUUGUGUGGAGAUUUUUUUGCCUACUCCUCACUGACUGUGUUUUAAAGGGAAUAACCCCCUUUUUAGGGGUGGGAGUCUGGUUGCAGGUUAAGUGGUCACUUUGGCAGGUGAGUGUGGGCUUUGGAGGUUAAGACCUCGAUUGGUGCUCAGCCAUAGGCACCUUUCAGGUAGAGAUGGUUUCAUGGAACAACCUUUCAGGGUUUUGUGGCCCAGGGGUGUCUCAGGUGGGUCAAAUGAGCCGUAAGCCAGAAUUUGGCUUUUAAAAAGCCAAAUCUGGUCACCUAGCGAAGGAACCACUUUUAGGGCACUGUUUAGCUGACCCACUCAGAGCUUUGGGGCUGGAGGGGUGGUGACCAGUGUUUCCUCUAACAGGGAUUCCCAGAUGUUGACUACAACUCCCAGAAUCCCAAGCUACAAUGGAUUUUGCUUGGGGAUUAUAGGAGUUGUAGUCCACAACAUCUGGGGAUCCAUGUUGGAGGGAACAGUGGUGGUGACCCUGGUGGCUACCUCCUUGACAGAGUAAACUGUGUGGCUUGGUGGGGCUAUGCUGAGGUUUCAUAUGGCAUCUGCCAAGCCUGGCUGCUUUGCCCAACAGUGAGAGGAGCUCAGCCCUCGCUAGGAGGCUGUGCCUACCCGAAAAGGGAAUUGGAGUUGCCCACACUCUAGUUUAUGGAGGUUAUAGUUAUACCUGUUGCAGAUCUCUGCAUAGUUUAUAGUUAAUAAAGUGGCCCUAGUUUUCAUCCAUA